CCUACGGGUGGCUGCAGUGGGGAAUAUUGCACAAUGGGGGAAACCCUGAUGCAGCGACGCCGCGUGAGUGAAGAAGUAAUUCGGUAUGUAAAGCUCCAUCAGCAGGGAAGAAAAUGACGGUACCUGAGUAAGAAGCGCCGGCUAACUACGUGCCAGCAGCCGCGGUAAUACGGAGGGGGCGAGCGUUAGCCGGAGUUACUGGGUGUAAAGGGAGCGUAGACGGCAGUGCAAGUCUGGCGUGAAAGGCGGGGGCUCAACCCGCGGACUGCACUGGAAACUGGACGGCUGGAGUGCAGGAGAGGUAAGUGGAAUUCCGAGUGUAGCGGUGAAAUGCGUAGAGAUUAGGAGGAACACCAGUGGCGAAGGCAGCUUACUGGA
rnacentral:rRNA from 1 species